AUGCUGUGAUGAGGACACUUUCUCAAAAAUUCUUUAAACCUCUCUCAUGCAUCAUACAUGAUUCCCCAUAAGGAGGAAGUUAUUGAUCUUUCCUUUCAACCUU